UUAAUUAUUUCUAAGUAUGAAAGAUUCCAUCCAAACUUUGAAAUGUCCUUUGCCCUCUACAUGAAAAUGUGUGCUUAUGUGCAUUCAUGAAGGGAAGAGAAAUGAUAGAUUCUCUAAUAAGAGCUGGUACCAAACUCAGCCUACGCAGCUGCUGUGAACUGUGUCAUUAAAAUUUUGAUGUGAUGUAAGAUUUGGGAAUU
ensembl:misc_RNA